UAAAUAGUCAUUAUGUAAAUUUUUAAACAUACACAGAGGUAGAGAGGAUAGUAUUCUGCCACUCUUCCACAGGAUCAUUUUCAACAAUCAUUAACAGAUAAGUAAUCUUAUUUCAUUUUUAACCCCAUGUACUCCUGCUCCCUUGAUGGAUUAUUUUGAAGAAAAUUCAGGACAUCAUGUCAUUUUAACACAAAGUGCUUUCAUUUUUCAAUUAUUUUUGAAUGCUGAAUUUUGUCUAUCCUAUAGAUAACAUCAGGCUCAGGUGAUUUACAGCUUCACAUAAGCACAAGUGCCUAGCGGAGCCUUGGUUUCACACAGUUUAGGAAAACUGUGACAUCAAAAUUAUUCUUAGAGGUUUAUGAGAAGACAAUACUAAACAACAACAACACCUAAAACCAUCCAUCCAGUUUUUACAUCAGUAAAUCUGAGUCAUCCUCAACUGCCUUUUCUCUCCUGAACAGAACCAGCAUCCGAAGUUCUCUCUGCCCAACGUCCCUAGUAUCUCUGUUCCCAGCAUUACUGCCUUAGCUCAGGACUCCACAUUUCCUUCCUGGACUCUGGUGAUGGGCUUCCAAUGCAUCUCGGGACCUCCAGUCUCACCACUGUCAGCUGCUCCUCCAAGAACCAUUAGCAAGGUCUUUCUGAACUGUAAAUCGAUUCAUUUGCCUCUUCUGCUUAGAAGCACUUUGUGGCCUCCUGUCUUUAAAGCAUAAAGAAAACACUGCUUUUGAAAUAAACUAGGCUGCUCAGGACCUGGAUCGUGUUUCUUUCUUCAAUCUCUCCUCUUACUCUGUACAAACACCACCUGUGUUUCCUUCAGUGCUUUAAAUGAGGCUUCUGUGCUUUUUUAUAUGUUGUUCUAUUUUUCCCUCCCCCACAUGCCAGCCAAGCUUCAGCAAUGUCUCUUCCAGCUCUGAAAAAAAAUAGCUGACAGAGUACAAUGACUACAGUCUGUUCACAGAGAAAACGUGGAUAUUACUUUGGACUUUCCGUAUCCUGCUUUCAUUCUUAUCUCAUUGCUUCCUCCAGACUCUCCGUGAAGUAGGUCAUCUUUUCUGAAUAAGAGAAAAAUUUAAAUCAAACUAAGAAGAUAUAUCUACUCUUGGAUGAAAAGAGAAUACCUUAUCUAGAAAUAGUUUUUUGACUUCAAGAGUCUAAGGAUUAGUUUGUGAAGAUCAACUGUAAAGGCCUUUAAAGGCUAUGGGAUAGAAAGCUUUAUUGGUGCCUUUUUACUUCAUUUAGUAAGAAGCGGCUGCGGACCCCGGUAGCGCCUACCUCUUUGAGAACAGCUGCUGCGUACUACCACACUUGUAAAUGCUGAGAAAUGGCUCGGAAUGAAGUGAGGACUUUGGAGAUGUCACCAUUACUGUUUGGAGCCUUGGGUGUGGGCUGGCGAGGCAGGUCUCAGCCUAAACCUUGCUCUCUCAUGGAAGAUGUGCCAAUGUCUACCUCCCAACCUACAUCAGAUCCGCCGACUGCUCAUCAUCGUGGUGUUUUUUCAUGGUGCUGCUGGCAGCUUGAAUAGUAGUUCACGCAUCAGUUGGAACAGGCUGACACCUUGAUGACACGUAACUGACUUUGACCUUCGUGAAAGAUAGUGAUUAAGAGACCAGGCUUGGGACCCAGACUGCCUGGGUUUCCUUCCCUGCUCUGCCACCUACCAGAUGAGAAUCUCAGUAGAAGACACUGACCUCCACUGAAAUAAAUUAUUGAACACAUAUGAGCAGGUAUUCAUAGAAGCUAUCACAACUAAACAAAGGUGAACCGAGCAGUUCCAGCCGGAUGACUGAAUUUAACUAGAAACAAGAUGAGGGAAGGCGGCAACAUCUCCCAGUGACCAGCAGGGGUCACUCGACAACCAGAAAACGAAUAGAAGGCGCGUGCGUUCCGGCGGCUGAACCGCCGGGCCGAACAUGCUCACAUGCGAGGUAGCAGGAUGCCCUCCGGGAAACACAGAGAACCCACUCAAAACCCUAACUCAAAACCGAAAAACAGAAAUGCACUUCUCAGAAAGGACGUUUUCCUCUGGAUAAAAGGGGAAAACCUUGGGCCCAACUCCGGGGCCCUGCAUGGAGUCGGUGGAACUGGGGUCCACGACGAUGGAAGAGACAGAAGGGGAGAAACUCUGCUGCGUCGGAUGCCAUCGAUCCGACUCCAGAGACGCAAACCAGAGAGCCCAGCCUCCAGCUAGGCUGCCUUUGCCACGUUCAAGUGCGGAACAUUAAAAACGAUUCCUGACCCCUUGUGUUUCAAAGGUUUUUGUAAAAUGCAUUUUUAAAACAUUUUUUAAAAAAAGUUCAGAUGGCCGGGUUUUUAAACAAUGAUUCUUCUCUUCUUGCCGCUGCUCUGUAUUCUCUUGCUCUUCAACGUCUGCCGUAAACACAGGUGUGUCCUCAUUGAUGCUUUGUCUUUGGAUUCCUGAAUCAUUCUCUGAGAGAUCUUCAAGGGGAUGGAUUAGUCGUAAAGGCAGCAGGGAACUUUCCUGAGAAUGUGCUGUAUUUGCCUCUGCCCUGAGCGCUCACUGACUCUGUGAAUGUCUGAUAACCCACAAAGGGGCCCUCUGAUGUGCACACCACUUUAAGGAUGAUGGUAAAACUGAGUUUCACAGAGCCCAGGUUUGGUAGAUGUGUGCUCCCAGCACCCAUGCUGUUUGACUAUAAAUCUCAGGCCAGAGGACAUAAAGGAACUUAAAAUUCAACUGUUCCUAUCACCUGUCUGAUACUCAGAUUCCUUCGACAGCACCUCUGUCAGCUGGUGGCCUUGCUGUGGUUGUACAUUACCGUGAUGGGGACCCAUGGGUCUUUCUACAUCUCCACCUGUAAGAGAUGCCUUACGGUUGGCUGGAAAAAACCUCUGUGCCUAGAGGGUCAAUAAAGGAAGACUGAUUUCUCUUCCCCUGACAGUACUUCCCACAUUUAAAGGGCGUUAUUCUGAAUUUCCCAUGUGUUAGUGUUCUCCAGAGAAACAGACCCAUAGGAGAUUUCCUAUAAGAAUUGGCUCACGUGAUUACGGAGGCUGAGAAGGUCUAUGAUCUGCCGUCUGCAAGCUUAG